AUAAAUUGACUUCCUGUGCCUGACCUGCAGGUGGCGGCCAUUCUGUUUCCUGGCCAUGGCUUCACUAAUUUAGGCCUGCUGGGCUCACGGGAAGCCCUUCAAAAAACGACUCCUUUCAGAUUAACAUGUAAAAUUUAAUUACGGAGGUCCAGGCUGAGAUGAUGUCUAAAGCCAUUUACUAAGCCCGGCGGCCUCCCUGUCCUGGGGCUAAGGAGGCCGAAGCAGAGCUUUGAUCAUUAACCGCUGAGAAAAUCUCAGCUUGCAUAUUAAGAGAAGUGGCAGCGCUUUUAACCCCUUUGGGAUGAGGACAGCGGAGAUGGAGACAGCCAAACGGAUGUAGAACCUCCUAUGAACUUCAAGAGAACAUUUCCGGGAGGAGCAGGUUGUGGCUUCCUAGGAGACCUUGGGCCUGGCUUUGCCUAUAAUCACAUUUCCCCUCCCGGGAAGGAGGGCNNNCGGCAGGGAGGAGGGGCUUAAACUCUACGGGCACAAACUUCUGGGACUUCUACCACCUUUGAAGCCUGUUGUAAGGCUGUCUUUCCACACAGGGCCCAGCUCUGGUUUUAAUGAUCAGAAGGCCUGAAAGGGCUGUCUUCUCACCCGGAUGGGCCCUUGGCAGACUCCUGGCCUGCCUUCCACAGCUCUCU
ensembl:lincRNA Gm11691 predicted gene 11691